UACUGUUGGUGAUGAAUUCUAAGCAAUGGGAAUCUCUCUGAAAGAGGCUGAGGAGGACUCUUGCACUGAAACAGUA
rnacentral:snoRNA from 1 species